GGCCACUUAGCUCAGCUGGUUAGAGCGCAUGCUUAACAGGAGUUGUCCAUUUACGCAUGAGGUCGGCGGUUCGAUCCCGCCAGAGGUCA
rfam:Trichosporon oleaginosus strain IBC0246 unplaced genomic scaffold CC85scaffold_121, whole genome shotgun sequence.